GUCCCGUAAGAGAUGGUCAUUAGGAUGCAGUUGUAUAAGACAGAUAUUUGGACCACCCUGAGGAAUUUGGAGGAUGAAGAGGAACCUGAAAUUGUAUCAAUGGUUUCUAAGCUCUGCUUCCAGAAUGAAGAAGUCCAACUCAUAUUUAAAAUGAAUGCCAAGGAAAAGGAAGAAUUUGUUCAGAGCUCAGGCAAUGAUGGUGUUGUGGUGUUUUCUCUUGGAUCAAUUCUCCAAAAUCUUUCAGAAGAAAAGGCUGAUAUUUUUGUUUCAGUCCUCACCCAAAUUCCACAGAAACUCAGUAUAAACUCCAAAUCUGGUAAGCAGCUAUUCCCACAGUGGAUCGAGAGUGUGGAUAAUGGUGUCUUUUUUAUUUGAAAGUUAAAUCUUAUUUUAAAUUUAGCAUAACAAGUACCUGUAUUAAGAAAAAAAAUCAUAAAACAUUAUACUAAUGUAGUUUGGCAUAAUUGAUUAUUUGUCUACUGAGACUUGCCGUUUCCAUGGAAACACAUCUUUUUGAAGUUAUUUGUUUGUAAUGAAAUAGAAAUAAAAACUUAAGUCCCACUAAGUAUUUAGAACUUGAAAUACUAAAAUACUUCAGACCUGUGGUAACUUCUUCAAAAAAAAAAAAAAAAAAAAAGUUCUGAAAUAUAUUGGCUCCAAUGACCAGGAAAAGGGAGGAUUAUUUUUAUCAGCAUACUGAUAGAGAAGAAUCAUGCUUAAAUAUAUCCUCAGCUUAAGUUGUUUUAGGACUCAAUGUAGCAGGGCAUAGAAAUAGAACCCUAGAUUUCUGUGGUUUUUCUAAUUAGCUAAGAGUUUUCUAGAAUUAGAAGACAAUUAAAGUUCUACAAUGAAUACGUAAGGCUAUUUAUGAAAUAUUCAAAGGCUCUUUUAAAACUAUUUAGUUAAAUUUUAUAAAACACAGCAUAGGCAAGAAUGUUAAAUAGGAGUGUGAAAUCUUGGGUUGUGAUUAUGCAAUUCUCUGUUAAGGGGUUUGAUACAUCUUUACAUCCUUUGGAUUCAAAUGUAAGGUUUCUUAUAGACUUCCUAAAAAUAAAACUGUAUAUAACAACAAGUACAAAUCCAGACAAGAUGCUCAAUUGAAAAAUGGAAUAAAAUUAACCCAUGUCUCAUUUUUUCUUAAAUAUUAAAUAACACAAAAUAAAGAUGAGAAGGAGGUAGGAUGAAAAGACUACUACUCAUCCAAAAACAGACAAAAUCUAAAGCAGGGUAUAUUUGUGAGAAAUUCUAAAUUUGAAGAGAGGGAGGAAGGUCAAGUAACUAUAAUUUAAACAAAAGUCAUGUAUCCAUAAUAAUUUUUAUCUCUCAAAAACUGAUUAGCCAGUACUGUUUUAUUUUCUAAUUCCUCACUUAUAAUCUCAUUCUUUUGUAACUGAUAAUAUGCAAAAUGGCAAUAAAGAUAGAUGUAUAAAAAAGACAGAUGUAUAAAACGCUUUUAUUUAUUUCAGUAUUUAUAAAGUAACCCUAUAUACUUUUCUCGCUAUGUAAUCUGAAAUAGAGUAGGAUGUACGAGUUAUAAAUAUUUCUACAGCCUUAAAAUGCUAUUAUCCUGUGGUUUUACUUGUGAAAUACAUAUAUUUCUUCCACAGGUUUUAUAGAUAUUUAUAAAAAAGAAAGAAAGUAGCCACAUUAUGAGCCAAUACUCAGCUCUAUGAUUGGAUAUUCCUGAAUUAUCUUCUUGGUAAGACUAUGAGAAAGUAAAAAUAAGCAAUUAGAUGAGCAACAAGGUGAAUAACAGUUUAACAGCUAAAAAUUCAAUAUUUUAAAAUUGUAAAAGUUUAUUAUUUUACUUCUAAAGCAGAUUUAUUUAAAAAAUCGAUCAUCAAUUGUAUAGAUUCACACUUUCUGUUGUUCUUGUAAGAGUUUCAGGCAAUGGGCCGGGCGCGGUGGCUCAAGCCUGUAAUCCCAGCACUUUGGGAGGCUGAGACGGGCGGAUCACAAGGUCAGGAGAUCGAGACCAUCCUGGCUAACCCGGUGAAACCCCGUCUCUACUAAAAAAUACAAAAAACUAGCCGGGCGAGGUGGUGGGCGCCUGUAGUCCCAGCUACUUGGGAGGCUGAGGCAGGAGAAUGGCGUAAACCCGGGAGGCGGAGCUUGCAGUGAGCUGAGAUCCGGCCACUGCACUCUAGCCUGGGCGACAGAGCGAGACUCCGUCUCAAAAAAAAAAAAAAAAUAAAUAUAAAAAGAGUUUCAGGCAAUGCAGAAAUAAUUAAUGCCUUGUUUUCUGAAGAUAGAAAAUUUCUGUGGUGGCAAUGUCCCAUGUGCUCAACUUUUGUAGAAAAUGCUGCUUUCUUCAGUGAGUUAUCUGAUUGCUUUUUCCCCUUCUUUCUCAGAAAUUCUUUUAACAUUAUAAUAGAAUUCUUACCCAUUUCCCAAUCUCAUUCCAAAAUUAAGUCAUCUCAAAACCAAAACUUUUGUUACUCCUGGUGAAACUAAUGGGACCUGUUAAGCUGUUUAUGAUAGGUCUUUAUGGUGUGAGUUCCCAUGUUUGCUGAUCUGCCUAAUGACAUCAUUCAUAUAAAGAUCAAAGGAACAGCUGUGGAGGUGAACACAUUUACAAGUGCACAAUUGCUCAAAGAUUUGAGAAUUGUUAUUCAUAAUUAUUUGUCAAUAUUGCUACUUUUAAAGUUUUUCCAACCAUUGAUGAUGUCACCAAUCACACUAGAAAAUGUUUGAGGCCAUGUGACUUUUCUAACCAUUUUUAGUUUGGUAAUUCACCGUCUUGGUCUUGGACCUGAAGUGUUAUGCUGACUCACAAUAUGCUGAUUCCUGGAGAGUGCACAAAUACAAAAAAUGAUAACUUCAAUGGAUGCAGAGAAGCCAAAAGAGUAAAACUGACACAUGCAAUAGACCAUACACAUCAGGAAAAUAUCUUAGGGAACAGUUUGAUAUGAGAAGCAUAAUGACUUCACUUUUUCUACAUGCUUAGCACUACUAGGCUAAGCAUAUAAAUUGAAAAUAAUGAUAAUAGGGGAUUACACUAGGAAAGGCUUACUAUUUUUUUAUAGAGUCCAUUUAGACCAUCACAGUCUACAUUUCCACCUUUGUCAACCAAUAUUUAUUGUGUUGCUUUAAAUAUAAGGGCCUAUUCUUUCUAAAACUUUAAAUAGUAAAGGUCAUUAAUCCUUUUUCAGAAAGAGAACAUGUCAACAAUAUGUUCAAAAGAAAUGGAUUCUUUCAAGGAAAAUAAUCAUAAUAUAAAAAGAACUCAUUUUAUGAAACUUUUUAAUUGACAGUGCACUUGAUAAACUUGGAUUUAUUAAUACGUUUUUUGCUGUACUUAAAAAAAUCACAAAUAUCCCAAAUCUCUCAUUUCUAAUCUUUAUUUAC
ensembl:lncRNA